rnacentral:rRNA from 1 species
UGCAAGUCGGACGGGAUUGAGAAGCUUGCUUUUCAUGAGAGUGGCGCACGGGUGCGUAACACGUAUGUAACCUACCUUAAUCAGGGGGAUAGCCUCUCGAAAGAGAGAUUAACACCGCAUAAAAUCAAUUUAUGGCAUCAUAGAAUGAUCAAAUAUUUAUAGGAUUAAGAUGGGCAUGCGGAACAUUAGCUAGUUGGUAAGGUAACGGCUUACCAAGGCUACGAUGUUUAGGGGAUCUGAGAGGAUGACCCCCCACACUGGUACUGAGACACGGACCAGACUCCUACGGGAGGCAGCAGUAAGGAAUAUUGGUCAAUGGGCGCAAGCCUGAACCAGCCAUGCCGCGUGCAGGAAGACGGCCCUACGGGUUGUAAACUGCUUUUGUACCGGAAUAAACCUUUGUAUGUAUACGAAGCUGAAUGUACGGUAAGAAUAAGGAUCGGCUAACUCCGUGCCAGCAGCCGCGGUAAUACGGAGGAUCCAAGCGUUAUCCGGAUUUAUUGGGUUUAAAGGGUGCGUAGGUGGCCUAUUAAGUCAGGGGUGAAAGACGGUAGCUCAACUAUCGCAGUGCCUUUAAUACUGAUGGGCUUGAAUACACUAGAGGUAGGCGGAAUGUGACAAGUAGCGGUGAAAUGCAUAGAUAUGUCACAGAACACCAAUUGCGAAGGCAGCUUACUAUGGUGUCAUUGACACUGAGGCACG